rnacentral:rRNA from 1 species
GACGGAGGAUGCAAGUGUUAUCCGGAAUCACUGGGCGUAAAGCGUCUGUAGGUGGUUCGAAAAGUCCACUGUUAAAAAUUGAGGCUUAACUUCAAAGAUGCCGUGGAAACUUUCAAACUAGAGUAUGGUAGGGGUAGAGGGAAUUUCCAGUGGAGCGGUGAAAUGCGUAGAUAUUGGAAAGACCACCGAUGGCGAAGGCACUCUACUGGGCCAUUACUGACACUGAGAGACGAAAGCUAGGGUAGCAAAUGGG